CGCGUAGGCGGCUUGGCAAGUCAGAUGUGAAAGCCCCGGGCUUAACUCGGGAAUUGCAUCUGAAACUGCUUUGCUUGAGUCCUGGAGGGGGUAGUGGAAUUCCCAGUGUAGCGGUGAAAUGCGUAGAUAUUGGGAGGAACACCUGCGGCGAAGGCGGCUACCUGGACAGUGACUGACGCUGAUGCGCGAAAGCUAGGGGAGCGAACGGGAUUAGAUACCCCGGUAGUCCUAGCCGUAAACGAUGGGCACUUGGUGUUGGGGGUAUUGAGUCCCCCGGUGCCGGAGUUAACACGUUAAGUGCCCCGCCUGGGGAGUACGGUCGCAAGACUGAA
rnacentral:rRNA from 1 species